AUCUCCAACAGAGUUAACCGUUUCUUUCUUUCUUUCUUUCUUUCUUUCUUUCUUUCUUUCUUUCUUUCUCUGAAGUUCAACAGAAGAGUGAACCAAUGAAGGUCAGAGAGAGAGACAGAAAAACCAAUUUCCAUCCAUUCAUAUGUUUGACUGAUUUCACCGACAUUAAUCUGCUUUUGUUAGAAGAAGAAAAUCCAGACGAAGACUCCAGCUAAGCGGAUUGUGAGCGCCACCCAGAAGAAGAAGAAGACCGACGCCGUUGGACCAACGAAGGCCAAAAAGAAGAUGACGGUUCCAGAGCAGCCGGCAGAAAGACAACUAAAUAAAAUAUGAAUCAGUUCAUCGUCACCACUCAGAAGAAGGAGGAGGCUGUUCAUUCACAAAAUGCUUCAUGAAAGGAGGAAAUAAAUUCAGUUUAAAUUACCUGCUGGGACGUUUUGUUCUAACUGACCAAACAUACCGGUAACGUUAGAGAGAGCUCAUAGCAAUGAGACACAGCAACAGCUAAAGCUAGCUAGCUAACGUGAACUCGCUAGCUAGCUAGCUAACAUUAAGUACCUAGUAAGUAUUAACUAACCAAGGUUAGUUAGGUUCUAAUAUUGCUCAUUUGAUGCUUUGAUAUACAGUGUUGUAUAUAUGAGCUCGGCGUUAGCUAGCUAGCUGUAGCUUUAGCCCCUUCUAGUCUUA